GUGACAGAGUGAGAGAGGGGGUGACUAGUGACAGAGUGAAAGAGGGGGUGACUGUCACUAGUCACCCCCUCUCUCACUCUGUCAC